rnacentral:lncRNA from 1 species
AGUUAGGUCGUAUAAGAUAUUGCAUCAAGUUAAAGAUAGAUGUCUAAGAUAUGCAAUUAUUGACACAAGAAGAAUAUAUUUUACCAAAAAACUAAGAGUGCAUAGUUUACAGUGCGAAAUGCUCACUAAAUAUGGACAAGGUGUCCAGAACAAGAUACAAGAACUCUUGCUACCCCUGGCAGUCAUUAAAGAUAGAAUUAGGGCCAAAUAUGUAAAAAAGUUAAAGUGGAUAUUUCAUAAGCAGUGUAAGAAGGAGAAGAAACCUUCUUUAGAGCUCCAAGAUGUUGUAGUAGUGGUAGGGGACAUUACAGUACCUAAACCAGUAGAAGAGCUGCUCCUUAAGGGCCUGAUGGCCAUUCCUAAAGCAAAGCCCUGCUUCUCUAAGAUGGCACCAUAUAU